UGUUGGCACCCAGCCCCAGAAAUGCUGUGAACAUUUGUUGUGCCAGUUGGACUCUCGUGUGUAAAACAUCCGUACCUAUAACGACUUUGUGGAUUACCUGAGUGACCCCUCCAAGCGGAAUGACAUUGAGAGGGAGCUGGCUGAGGCAAAGAUGUCCUCUUUGAGCUGGUGCUGUUUGGGAUGAUGACAGCUCAGAAGUCCCUGAUGGUGCACCCUGGUGGGUUCGUGGAGCGUCUGUACGCUCUCCUGUAUUCCUUCCUGCCGACAUGGAGCCAGAGGCUGACAGAUACCUGCUGCUGCUCAAUAUGAAAUCUCGCGUCUUGUGACGGCCGGCCGCCCAACAACCUGCCCGCUCGACCCU